rnacentral:rRNA from 1 species
CACUCUUUUACUGUGAAACUGCGAAUGGCUCAUUAAAUCAGUUAUCGUUUAUUUGAUAGUACCCUACUACAUGGAUACCUGUGGUAAUUCUAGAGCUAAUACAUGCGCAAAACCCCGACUUCGGAAGGGGUGUAUUUAUUAGAUAAAAAACCAAUGCCCUUCGGGGCUCCUUGGUGAUUCAUAAUAACUUCACGAAUCGCAUGGCCUUGCGCCGGCGAUGGUUCAUUCAAAUUUCUGCCCUAUCAACUUUCGAUGGUAGGAUAGUGGCCUACCAUGGUGGCAACGGGUAACGGGGAAUUAGGGUUCGAUUCCGGAGAGGGAGCCUGAGAAACGGCUACCACAUCCAAGGAAGGCAGCAGGCGCGCAAAUUACCCAAUCCCGAUACGGGGAGGUAGUGACAAUAAAUACUGAUACAGGGCUCUUUUGGGUCUUGUAAUUGGAAUGAGAACAAUCUAAAUCCCUUAACGAGGAACAAUUGGAGGGCAAGUCUGGUGCCAGCAGCCGCGGUAAUUCCAGCUCCAAUAGCGUAUAUUAAAGUUGUUGCAGUUAAAAAGCUCGUAGUUGAACCUUGGGCCCGUCCUGCCGGUCCGCCUCACCGCGAGUACUGGUCCGGAUGGGCCUUUCUUUCUGGGGAAUCCCAUGGCCUUCACUGGCUGUGGCGGGGAACCAGGACUUUUACUGUGAAAAAAUUAGAGUGUUCAAAGCAGGCCUUUGCUCGGAUACAUUAGCAUGGAAUAAUAGAAUAGGACGUGCGGUUCUAUUUUGUUGGUUUCUAGGACCGCCGUAAUGAUUAAUAGGGAUAGUCGGGGGCGUCAGUAUUCAGCUGUCAGAGGUGAAAUUCUUGGAUUUGCUGAAGACUAACUACUGCGAAAGCAUUCGCCAAGGAUGUUUUCAUUAAUCAGGGAACGAAAGUUAGGGGAUCGAAGACGAUCAGAUACCGUCGUAGUCUUAACCAUAAACUAUGCCGACUAGGGAUCGGGCGGGGUUUCUAUGAUGACCCGCUCGGCACCUUUACGAGAAA